UCCGGUUUUGUACCGGCAGUCUCUGUAGAUAUUCAACUACAAACAAGGGUUGCGCUCGUUGCGGGACUUAACCCAACAUCUCACGACACGAGCUGACGACAGCCAUGCAACAUCUGUUCUUCUGUCCUUGCGGAGGGUCUGCUUUCACAGACUUGCAAAAGAAUGUCAAGCCCAGGUAAGGUUCUUCGCGUUGCAUCGAAUUAAACCACACGCUCCGCUGCUUGUGCGGGUCCCCGUCAAUUCCUUUGAGUUUUAGUCUUGCGACCGUACUCCCCAGGCGGGCUACUUAAUGCGUUAGCUUCGGCACAGGAGGGGUCAACACCCCCCACACCUAGUAGCCAUCGUUUACUGCUAGGACUAA
rnacentral:misc_RNA from 1 species